GUACCAGACUCCUACGGGAGGCAGCAGUGAGGAAUAUUGGUCAAUGGGCUUACGCCUGAACCAGCCAAGUCGCGUGAGGGAAGACUGCCCUAUGGGUUGUAAACCUCUUUUGUCAAGGAGCAACGCCGGCUACGUGUAGCCGGACUGAGAAUACCUGAAGAAAAAGCACCGGCUAACUCCGUGCCAGCAGCCGCGGUAAUACGGAGGAUGCGAGCGUUAUCCGGAUUUAUUGGGUUUAAAGGGGGCGUAGGCGGCAUGCCAAGUGAGCGGUAAAAUACGGGGGCUCAACCUGGGUCCGCCGUUGAAACUGGCGUUCUUGAGUGGGCGAGAAGUAUGCGGAAUGCGUGGUGUAGCGGUGAAAUGCAUAGAUA
rnacentral:rRNA from 1 species